CCUGGGGUAGCUCAGUUGGUAGAGCAUGAGACUCUUAAUCUCAGGGUCAUGGGUUUGAGCCCCAUGUUGGGGA
rnacentral:tRNA from 1 species